rnacentral:RNase_P_RNA from 1 species
GGAGUUGGCCAGACGGUCGCCGCCGCGCUUGCGCGGGGGAGGAAAGUCCGGGCUCCACAGGGCAGAGUGCCAGGUAACCCCUGGGCGGCGUGAGCCGACGGAAAGUGCAGCAGAGAGUAGACCGCCCCAGCCUUUCGGGGCCGGGGUAAGGGUGAAAGGGUGCGGUAAGAGCGCACCGCGCGGCUGGUAACAGUUCGUGGCAAGGUAAACCCCACUCGGAGCAAGACCAAAUAGGAACCCGAUGGCGUGGCCCGCGCUGGGUUCGGGUAGGUUGCUUGAGCGCUAUGGUGACGUAGCGCCUAGAGGAAUGGCUGUCCACGACAGAACCCGGCUUAUCGGCCGACUCCCCCA